rnacentral:rRNA from 1 species
UACGUAGGUGGCAAGCGUUGUCCGGAUUUACUGGGCGUAAAGAGCGCGCGGGCGGUCGGAUAAGUCGAAUGUGAAAGCCCCCGGCUCAACUGGGGAGGGUCAUUCGAUACUGUUCGACUCGAAGGCAGGAGAGGGAAGUGGAAUUCCCGGUGUAGUGGUGAAAUGCGUAGAUAUCGGGAGGAACACCAGUGGCGAAGGCGACUUCCUGGCCUGUUCUUGACGCUGAGGCGCGAAAGCUAGGGGAGCAAACGGG